CUUAGAUGUUCUGGGCCGCACGCGCGCUACACUGAUACGAUCACCAAGUCUACAACCUGCUUUGAGAGGAGUGGGUAAUCUUCGAAACCGUAUCGUGCUGGGGAUAGAUGGUUGUAAUUUUCCAUCUUGAACGAGGAACUCCUAGUAAUCGUAAUUCAACAGAUUGCGAUGAUUACGUCCCUGCCCCUUGUACACACCGCCCGUCGCUGCUACCGAUGAAUGGUCCGGUGAAUUCUUAGGAUCGUGC
rnacentral:rRNA from 17 species